UCAGGAUGAACGCUGGCGGCGUGCCUAAUACAUGCAAGUCGUACGAGGUUAAUCCAGCUUGCUGGAGAGACCUAGUGGCGAACGGGUGAGUAAUACGUAAGUAACCUGCCUGCAAGGACUGGGAUAACACCUGGAAACGGGCGCUAAUACCGGAUAGGUAACAGAGGGGCAUCCCACUGUUAUUAAAGGUUAAAGACACAAGCAGAUGGGCUUACGGUGCAUUAGCUAGUUGGUGAGGUAACGGCCCACCAAGGCGAUGAUGCAUAGCCGGCCUGAGAGGGUGAACGGCCACAUUGGGACUGAGACACGGCCCAGACUCCUACGGGAGGCAGCAGUAGGGAAUUUUCGGCAAUGGGCGCAAGCCUGACCGAGCAACGCCGCCGUGAGUGAAGAAGAAUUUCGGUUCGUAAAGCUCUGUUGUAAGGGAAGAAUAACACGGAGAGAAUCCGUGCAUGACGGUACCUUACCAGAAAGCCACGGCUAACUACGUGCCAGCCGCCGC
rnacentral:rRNA from 1 species